rnacentral:rRNA from 1 species
AUGAGGAGGUGCACGGGCGGCAAUCACUACAACCAUCAUGUGCUACUGCAGGCUUUCCUAGCCUCGUCACAUGAUCAACACGGCGAGCAUCGGCAAAGGGCAGUGCCAAACCAAGUACGCGAGGAGCGCCCGGGCCGUCCUUCACCCUCCAACAAUGGCGACGACGACUGUGCGUCAUGGGACGCCUACAGCAUGUGCCUUGCUGAAGUAAACAUGGAGCUCACCCUCUCUACGUCGUGCAUCACAUCUACUUAA